rnacentral:rRNA from 1 species
UACGUAGGGUGCAAGCGUUGUCCGGAAUUAUUGGGCGUAAAGAGCGUGUAGGCGGCCGUACAGGUCAGCUGUGAAAACUCGAGGCUCAACCUCGAGACGUCGGUUGAAACCGUACGGCUAGAGUCCGGAAGAGGAGAGUGGAAUUCCCGGUGUAGCGGUGAAAUGCGCAGAUAUCAGGAGGAACACCGGUGGCGAAGGCGGGUCUCUGGGCCGAUACUGACGCUGAGGAGCGAAAGCGUGGGGAGCGAACAGG